GGGGAGCAGUGCUAACCCAGGGUCUGGACGGAAUCCAGGUGUCUCCCGGCCACGCAAACCAGUUCUCCGAAGCCUCAAGGAGCUCAGAGCCACGGGGUCUCUUGGGCCUUUCAACUUGGAGACAUGUUUCUUGCUGCUCUUCUUUUGGCAGAAAGUCUCGGGUCCAGCUUUGAUGCUUGCACUUUUGCCUGCCCCUCUGCUCCCUGGCUGGCCGCACUUUUCAAGAUACCCUCUAACCAGGGUGGUGGGGCAGGACUGGACCUGGGGUGGGACUCAGCAGCAACCUCACCGACAAGCCUCCCCAGCCUCCUCCCUCCCCACCCAGGAAAAGCUUGUGUUAUUUUAUCCUCCACGUUCUUGCUGCUUCUCUUUGACAAACACGGAAAUAGACAAGAAGAGAGGGUGAGAAUCUUGACUUGUUCACAGAAAUAGGAAAUGACAAAGCCAGGAUGUGACCCCAGUUUUGAUGCUCUGAUGACUUCUGCACCCAUGUCCCCUCUCCAGCCAACCAUGG
rnacentral:lncRNA from 1 species